CAGUCGCCGCGGUAAUACGAAGGGUGCAAGCGUUACUCGGAAUUACUGGGCGUAAAGCGUGCGUAGGUGGUGAUUUAAGUCCGUUGUGAAAGCCCUGGGCUCAACCUGGGAAUUGCAGUGGAUACUGGAUCACUAGAGUGUGGUAGAGGAUAGUGGAAUUUCCGGUGUAGCAGUGAAAUGCGUAGAGAUCGGAAGGAACAUCUGUGGCGAAGGCGACUAUCUGGGCCAACACUGACACUGAGGCACGAAAGCGUGGGGAGCAAACAGGAUUAGAUACCCCAGUAGUCCCUGUCUCUUAUAC
rnacentral:rRNA from 1 species